CAGGAGACGGGCAGCAGCGGGUUGGCCAGGGAAGGCCAGGGUUCUCCCAGCAACAGUCUCCUGGGGAGGGCUCGCAGGGCAUGGGGGGAGGUGUGCUGGGGGUGGAGGCUGUGACCCUUGUAGCAGGGCAAGUGACCUCGCGGCUCGGUGACUUAGGGGACACAGCGGGGCUCAGCAGGAUGACAGGGCUGUGGCUGUGAGUCCAGGGGGCGGGGGCAGGACCCUGACUCUCAGCAGCCAAGGGGGCAAAGAGCAGUCAGGGUAUGCUUCAGACAGUAUGGGCUCCCUUGGGGCAGCCUCUCUCCGGUCAGCGUCGCAGCUGCUCCUGGCGCUGGCAGCCUGCAGGGAAAGCCGAGGGCAAACUGGGCCGUAGCGCCCGGCUCCUCUCCCCCUGCACCUGGGAUCCCCAGGAGCAGAUGCCCCUCUUCUGCCCAGGCCUAGGCACCAAGACACGGACCAAGGCCUGGUGGUGGCCUUGAAAGCAGAGGGGCUGCACACUGGACUCUACUUCAUUUUCUUGGGCUCCAAGGACUCAAACCAGGGUGCGCCAUCGAAUUUCCUUCUGCCUUUGUUGCACUGGUCCAGGGCCUUCGGCAGCAGGGGUCUGGGCGCUCCAGGGCCCCCGCACACUGGUACAAGCUCUCGGGCCGCGGUGAAAGAAACAUCCUGGCUGCGGACCCACGCGGGGAGCCGAGCCUGGCACGGUCAGCGAGGCCGGCAGCUCCUUCGUGCGUGGUAAAGGCUGACCCCCUGGAGGGACGCGGCGCGCAGCCUUCUCGGGAGAAUCCCGCAUGCCCAGGGCGCCUUCACCCUGCGGAUCCGGGCGUAGUCGCGGCGGGGCAGAGUGAUGGGGAGAAGUCAUGCAGACCCAAUGGUUCUCCUGCACGAGGGAAACUUUGCAGGGCUCCGGGUUCUGACUGCGGCUGGCGGGCCUGGAGGCGGGGAGCGAUGCUCUUCGGGGUGGCAGCGCGGCCUGGGGCUUGCCCCGGUUUGUGAUAAGUUGGAGACCCACGAGGUCUGGGCGAUAGAGCGGUGCGUCGAACGCGGGAUUCAGCUUCCAGCGUUUGUCGAAGGCUGCGAACAUGGCCAGGUGCCAACUUCGAAGGGCUCCAGUGACCGUUGGCUUCAUAGCGCGAGGAAAGCACCCGGACCGCGGGGGCUCGGGACCCGCUGGCCACAGGAUCCCGCGCGGGCAAGGCCAAUGCUCCGCGGACACCCGGACAUCAGAGGACGCAGCGGCUGCCCCGAGGAAAUGGCACGAGCCCUCAGGAUUCAUGUUUCUGUGUCAGUGAAGUUGGUUGCCUACCGCCUCUCCUACCAUUGUCAACCACCCAACAUGCUAUGUUUAGCUUGUGUGCUCUGAACACGCGUGCCAGUCCUCGCCUUCGACAAACCGGUCAUCUUGGAGGGAGGCACAUUUUCUAUUAGUAGCUGAAAGGUUCUAACUUCAGAAAUAAAGUGUGCAGGGGCUGCUGGGUACUUGCA
rnacentral:lncRNA from 1 species